UGUAAAUAACCUGUCGUGAGUACUCGCGUCAGCACCUUGCGAUUCACAAAAUCGGGAGAAAAAUCUGUAACACUAACACAGAUUUUUCUCACGAUUCAACGAUUUUUCUUCCGUUGUAAAGUUGUUGAAAACUUUUCGCACGCAGAAAACUAUAAUAUGAACAGACGAGAGAGCGGGCAGCUUCAAUUGAACGUUUAAAUCGCUAAAUGUCGAAGAAGGGGCAUCGAUUAUUUACCAAAAUUGGCCCGACAAAUCGCAGCGUGUAAACGUAGCUU